CUGCCAGGUCCAUGAUUGGGAUUGGAGGGUGGCUAGCCAUACCUGUCAAUCAGAUGGAAUUGUAGGGGAGGCUGAUAAAGGCCAAGGCCAGAAGCUGGAGCCAGCAGGGGCUCAAGAGACUAUCAGCCAGCAGGCGCUUACAGGCAG